CAGUACAUGAGCGCAGCUGAUGCAGCCAUGCCGCGUGAUGAUGAAGGUCUUAGGAUUGUAAAAUUCUUUCACCGGGGACGAUAAUGACGGUACCCGGAGAAGAGGCCCCGGCUAGCUUCGUGCCAGCAGCCGCGGUAAUACUCCGUGCCAGCAGCCGCGGUAAUACUGGC
rnacentral:rRNA from 1 species